CAGAUCCCUGCGAGCAUUUUCAAAAUUCAGUUAUUUUAGACAACAGGCACAUAUGCAAUACUGACAUAAUCUCAAAUACCACUAAGCAGCUGGGACACAUUUUUGUUGACCAUACUCGCAGGUAAAAUAAGUAGAUUAUGUGGACAGCUCCAGCUCAUUUUCCUUAAAUCAGUGUGUACAAGGGGUAUGCAAAAAUAAUUUUUUUCUCACGCACCGAUUCUUUUGCUGUAUAAGCAAGAGAACCCACCACGUUAGUGUAACGUAUCUUGUACAUCACACUAAUAAGUGCUUUAAUUUACCAAGUGAGAUGAGUUACUUUUAUGGCUCAUUCAGUCAUAUCACACUGCAAGCUGCAUUCAUCAAUCUUCAAUUGGAUUUCGCAUGAAACAUGUUUCCCUUUUAUGCAGAUAUGCAAUGGCAAGCCCUUCCGUGUGUUCCAAAGGUAAAAUUUAAGCUCGAAAUUAAAGAAGACAUUUCUAGUCAGAAACAAGCAAAAAUGGUGAAUGCAGAGUAUCAGAAGCCCAAGGUACAGAAAUUAUGAGAAGUGUCGAAUGAUUUUAAGGGAAGAAUGGUAUUUGAAGAUGCAAGAUUCUUUAGUGGAAAUCAAGCAAGUCAGUAUAGGUAGAAUACUCUGAGAAAUUAUGCGAGUAAUGGGAUAGCACACAAUGGGUCAGGAAAUGCGUUGUUUUUCUGAAAAACUAAAGCUGAUGGCUGUCAUAUCAUGAGUCACUUUAGCAUCAUGAGACUGCUGUUUGAUAAAUUCAGAAACAAACCAAAAAGCAAUUAAAGCCAUGCAAAAAUUAAAAAAAACUAUUUAAUGGUGCUCUCUCCACACUGGGAUAAAUAAUAAGAAACGGAUCACGUCUAAUGUGGACAUAUCAGUCACCUUGUGAAACACUAAAGGAAAAAUUCAGUUUCGAGCUAUGGCACUUGCCGCAUAGAUGUGGGGGGCCUUGCACCAAUAGUAAUAGUUACCACUGCAUCUAGAAAUUUAAAGCAUUCAUGCAGACAAGGAUGAUUCUUUAUAUUUUUGGCUACCACUUCAAAUGCCUCCACUAAGUGUUACAAUGCUGCACGCAGCCAUACUAAGGAUCUCACAGCAACACUUGCAGGUAAACAGCAAAAGCAGUCAAAGUGCUGGUGUAUUCUGGACACUGUCUUUGAAAACUUUUAGGCAAGAACAGUGCAAGAAACAGACAUAAGAACUGCAUUUAUUUCUAUAAUUCCCCAUUUGAAUGGCCUUUUCUUUUUCCUUCGACAAUGCCUUCGCCUAGCCACAGCAGCUCCCUCAUACAGACUCCGCAAGCCAAGAGGCCGUGGAGGCAAAUGCAGACAGCCAGCACACCUCGAACAGCCACCUUGACUGCGGGUGUGUCACCCUAGUCGCCAAGGAAACAUUUGAGGGAAAGCGACAGGCUAUGUGAACAGCCACUUCUCCAUGUAAACGAUACUCUUUCUCUCGGAUGACUCCUACGUUCGCCACGCCAGCACACUUGUGCACAAAGAUGCCACGGAGGCACGUGCAGGUCAGAGGCAAGAAGCAGUGGCACUGGUGUCGACAUUCGCCCAAUUUCUUUUUCUUACACUGAGGCAGCCAGCACACCUCAAACAGCCACCUUAACUGCGGGUGUGUUAGUAGAUUCCUGUUGUACAUAUGCUCAUAAUAAACUUCAGUAAACUUGAACUUGAUAAUAAACUUGAAGGCAAAUGGGA